rnacentral:sRNA from 1 species
UGACUCAACAUCACCUCCAACAGAUGACGC